rnacentral:lncRNA from 1 species
AAUAUUCUCAAGAGAAACAUGUCCGAGUGUAGUAUCACAUAACAACUAAUUCAAGUCUACACCUGAAUAACCACCGCACAACAUCCUAAAAGGCCAAGAUGGGUUAAGGGUUCUAAGGUCCUCAGCUUCUCGGGUUCCCAGGUCAAAAAAAGUAAUGCCAACUACGACUACUCGUGUGACAUCACUAAUCCCAAAGGGGCCUCCACUGAGUUGGGGAUCUCAAGUCACCUUAUUAAGGAUUAACUCCAUGUAAGCCAAAC